CACUUCCAUCAGGAGACAUCCAGGUCCAUUUUUUAUUUUUUGUUUUUCUUAUAAAAGCUAUUUAGGAUCUUUAGGUUAUGUGCCUGGGCUAGACGUACUAGUCUUUGACCGUUAUUAUUUCUUUCCAGUGCUGAAUCGACCUAGUAUACUGUCUUCGUUUGUUAGUCUCUCACCUAUCUGUCCAUUGAAGUCCCCCAUCAGGACAAUUGCUUUGUGUGCACCUGCGAGGGUCCUUUCCAGGUUUUCGUAGAAGUUA
rnacentral:lncRNA from 1 species